AGAAUCACUUUAUUUUACUGUAAACACUCUCUGCAAUGUACUGCUGAGUUCGAAUUUUCCAAUUCAAGGAUUAUUGAAGUUUGAUUCUACAAGACCAGUGAGAUUUAUUUAGCUUAAUUUUAUUCUCUGCACUUUAUUAUUUAUAUAUCUCCUGUUAUCUGAAUAUAUAUGAAUUAUGGC